UACGGGGGGGGCAAGCGUUGUCCGGAAUUAUUGGGCGUAAAGGGCUCGUAGGCGGUUUGUCGCGUCGGGAGUGAAAACUCAGGGCUUAACCCUGAGCCUGCUUCCGAUACGGGCAGACUAGAGGUAUGCAGGGGAGAACGGAAUUCCUGGUGUAGCGGUGAAAUGCGCAGAUAUCAGGAGGAACACCGGUGGCGAAGGCGGUUCUCUGGGCAUUACCUGACGCUGAGACGCGAAAGCGUGGGGAGCGAACCGG
rnacentral:rRNA from 1 species